CGCCAAGCAUGUACCUAAAGGGCAUUUUUCCAGGCAGACGGUCCAUAGCUCCCAUUAGAUUUUCAAAGAGCUACGAGGAGCCCACCACCGCCACCACCAAAAGGGUGAAAAGGUUAAGGACCCUUACAAAGACCCAGGAGGUAGGAAGUAUCUUUCAUUCCUAUUUUACAAAUGAAGAAACUGAGGCCAAGAGAGGGGAAGUAAUUUGUAUACAGCGGCUGAAUGGUGGACUUCAGAGAUCAGGCAAGUUUCCUCCAAAGAUCCCCUUCUUGCACAAUACAUGUCUGUGAAAUUUUCACUGCAUUUGCAUUUAAGAACAUUUGAGGACAAUGGAAGUGUGAAUGGAUUUGGAGAGGGAAUGCCACCUGCUCUAGAAGAAGCCGCCUUGGGAUCUGCAUUUCUGUACCUCGAAUUGCCCUUCAGAGCAGCUUCUUCCUUGCCCGGCUCAUAUCCCCCAGAAUGAACUAACUACACUGCCAUCCAAAAACAGCUGUUUUUUAGCCAGUAACAACCCAGGCAUGUACUCUGUGUACCAGAGCGUUUUCAAUAAGCCACAGAUCCUUAGGCUGAGAAAGAAGCCACUGGAGGUUCAGAGCCAGGCACGGGGGAUGAGGCAGACAGAAAACAUAAGACGAGAAACUGGGAAACAGGGAAUGUCCUGAUGCUGCCUAAAAUUCCAGGAAAAAAAAGACACACAGUGGUUAGAGGAAUGGGUGCUGCAGCCUGAGAACCGUGGAGAGGAAACGAUGCUGGUUGGUUCCCCAUUCAUAGCCUUUGGUAUCUCUAGGGUAUUUGUUUUUGGAGAAGAAACAUCUGUGAGGGUAAAACACUUCCUGAGUGAAGCAACUGUGUACCACAGAAGUUGGGAUCCAUCUAAUUUUCUGUGAUGCCUUCAAUGCAGAAGUAAACAUGAUUAGACUUUUAGUUUUUCAUACAAAUACUUUUUUUGUUUGUUUGUUUGUUUGUUUUUUGUUUUGUUUUGUUUUGUUUUUGAGACAGAGUCUCGCUCUGUCGCCCAGGCUGGAGUGCAGUGUUGUGAUCUCAGCUCACUGCAACCUUUGCCUCCUGAGAUCAAGUGAUUCUCCUGUCUCAGCCUUUUGAGUAGCUAGGAUUAUAGGCAUGCACCACCAUGCCCUGCUAAUUUUUGUAUUUUUUAGUAAAGAUGGAGUUUCACCAUGUUGGCUAGAAUGGUCUCAAACUCCUGACCUCAAGUGAUCCACCCACCUUGGCUUCCCAAAGUGCUGGGAUUACAGGCAUGAACCACUGUGCCCGUCU
rnacentral:lncRNA from 10 species